GACGUAGGGCGCGAGCGUUGUCCGGAUUUAUUGGGCGUAAAGAGUGUGUAGGCGGUGUUCCCAGUCUGUUGUGAAAUCUCCCGGCUUAACUGGGAGGGUGCAGCGGAAACUAGAAUGCUAGAGGGUGGGAGAGGUAAGCGGAAUUCCUGGUGUAGCGGUGAAAUGCGUAGAUAUCAGGAGGAACACCUGUGGUGUAGACAGCUUACUGGACCACUUCUGACGCUGAGACACGAAAGCGUGGGUAGCAAACAGG
rnacentral:rRNA from 1 species